GUGACUAAUGUCUGUGCUUCAUUGGAUCAGCCAGUGACAACAAAGAAGGGUUACAAUAUCUAUCAUUUUCACAAAAUGAUUGAUAGGAGGACUGUUCAAAGCCAAACUGCUGCCCAUAAUGGUAUAGCAGUGUAAAGUACAAUGUUGUCGGUGAAAAGAUGCAGCUGCUGCUGAAGGACGGCUAUGCACAUUUCCUGGCUGAACUCACAGUCCUUGGCCUCAGCGAAAACAGCCUCUCUAGAUAGCAGAGGGAAUGAAAAAAUUGAUAUCGGGCUGAACGCUUCUUGCUCAGUUGGUUGUCAUUACACUAGUGACACUGGAGCACAAGCUGACCUGGAACAGCCUGUAUAUGAUGGAAACCACUUUCAGCCGGGAGCACGGCAGCACCUCCAGUACCCAUAGUCCCAGCACUUAUUCUGGAGCAUGUUGUGUGGAUGUGGAGUGGAGUGGAUGUGUCUAAGCUCUUGUGGAAGGAAGAUGAUCUCAAAACACAAGAAGAUCUACUUCUGAUGGCUCAUCUCAAUCAAUUACUUACUCUAACUUGAGGAACAGCCAAAUUAAAACUAAAUAGGUAUAGAAUAGAUAUAGAUAGAGUAUCUAAACAAGAUUUCUGCAGUGCUGGCUCCUGUUCUGAAUCAUUCCCGGAAGCACCAAAUUGCCACUUACUGGAACUCCCUGUUCUGCACACCACAGAGCCUCCCAACGAGCUCUCAGAGACACUUAGUACUGUACAUGCCAACAGAUAAAUUCCACUUCGCUUACUGGCCCUUUGUGUGAAGAAUGUUACAACUUGUCAUCAAAGGUUGGGAAUUCUGUAUUAUAGAAUCAUAGAAUA